GGUGCAUGGUUGUCGUCAGCUCGUGUCGUGAGAUGUUGGGUUAAGUCCCGCAACGAGCGCAACCCCCUUACGUUUACGUUGCUAACGUGUAAAGAUAGGAGCACUCUAGACGGAACUGCCGUUGACAAACGGAGGAAGGUGGGAUGACGUCAAAUCAUCAUGCCCCUUAUGUCCUGGGCUACACACGUGCUACAAUGGCCGGUACAAAGGGACGCAAAGCCGCGAGGUGGAGCAAAUCCGAUAAAAGCCGGUCUCAGUUCGGAUUGCAGGCUGCAAUUCGCCUGCAUGAAGUCGGAAUCGCUAGUAAUCGCAGGUCAGCAUACUGCGGUGAAUACGUUCCCGGGCCUU
rnacentral:rRNA from 1 species